CCUACGGGCGGCUGCAGUGAGGAAUAUUGGUCAAUGGCCGCAGGGCUGAACCAGCCAAGUCGCGUGAGGGAUGACGGUCCUAUGGAUUGUAAACCUCUUUUGUCAGGGAGCAAAGGGCGCCACGUGUGGCGCUUUGCGAGUACCUGAAGAAAAAGCAUCGGCUAAAUCCGUGCCAGCAGCCGCGGUAAUACGGAGGAUGCGAGCGUUAUCCGGAUUUAUUGGGGUAAAAGGGUGCGCAGGCGGAAUGUCAAGUCAGCGGUAAAAUUUCGGGGCUCAACCCCGUCGUGCCGUUGAAACUGGCGUUCUUGAGUGGGCGAGAAGUAUGCGGAAUGCGUGGUGUAGCGGUGAAAUGCAUAGAUAUCACGCAGAACUCCGAUUGCGAAGGCAGCAUACCGGCGCUCAACUGACGCUCAUGCACGAAAGCGUGGGUAUCGAACAGGAUUAGAUACCCGAGUAGCC
rnacentral:rRNA from 1 species